rnacentral:rRNA from 1 species
UACGUAGGGGGCUAGCGUUAUCCGGAUUUACUGGGCGUAAAGGGUGCGUAGGCGGACUAUUAAGUCAGUGGUGAAAGCCUGCAGCUUAACUGCAGAACUGCCAUUGAUACUGAUAGUCUUGAGUUUGGUUAAGGUAGGCGGAAUGUGUAAUGUAGCGGUGAAAUGCUUAGAUAUUACACAGAACACCAAUUGCGUAGGCAGCUUACUGAGCCGACACUGACGCUGAGGCACGAAAGCGUGGGGAUCAAACAGGAUUA